GACGAACGCUGGCGGCGUGCUUAACACAUGCAAGUCGAACGGAAUUGCCCUGCUUUUGCGGGGUGCUCGUGUGGCGAACAGGUGAGUAACACGCGAGUACCACGUCCUUGACUUUGGGAUAUCUUUAGGAAACUGGGGCUAAUACCGGAUAGGAGCUCCUGCUUCAUGGUGGGGGUUGGAAAGUUUCGGCGGAUGGGGAUGGACUCGCGGCUUAUCAGCUUGUUGGUGGGGUAGUGGCUUAUCACGGCUUAGCCGGGUGGCCGGCCUGAGAGGGUGACCGGCCACAUUGGGACUGAGAUGCGGCCCGGACUGCUACGGGAGGCAGCAGUGGAGAAUAUUGCGCGAUGGGCGGAAGCCGGAUGCAGCAACGCCGCGUGCUGGAGGACUGCCUUCAGGUAAGAACCCGCAUUCGCCUAUGACGAAGCUUGAGUGACGGUAAUUGAUAAAAAAGCACCGGCUAACUACGUG
rnacentral:rRNA from 1 species